rnacentral:rRNA from 1 species
UACAGAGGUCCCAAGCGUUGUUCGGAUUCACUGGGCGUAAAGGGUGCGUAGGCGGUCGGGUAAGUCCGCUGUGAAAGCCCGGAGCUUAACUCCGGAGGGUCGGUGGAUACUGCCAGUCUUGAAGGUGCUAGGGGGAGAUGGAAUUACCGGUGUAGCGGUGAAAUGCGUAGAUAUCGGUAGGAACACCAGUGGCGAAGGCGGUCUCCUGGGGCAUUCUUGACGCUGAGGCGCGAAAGCUGGGGGAGCAAACGGG